rnacentral:rRNA from 1 species
CCUACGGGGGGCAGCAGUGGGGAAUAUUGGGCAAUGGGCGCAAGCCUGACCCAGCAACGCCGCGUGAAGGAAGAAGGCUUUCGGGUUGUAAACUUCUUUUCUCAGGGACGCAGCAAGUGACGGUACCUGAGGAAUAAGCAACGGCUAACUACGUGCCAGCAGCCGCGGUGAUACGGAGGUGGCAAGCGUUAUCCGGAUUUAUUGGGUGUAAAGGGCGUGUAGGCGGGACUGGAAGUCAGCUGGGAAAAACACGGGCUCAACCUGUGGCCUGCAUUUGAAACUGUAGUUCUUGAGUACUGGAGAGGCAGACGGAAUUCCUGGUGUAGCGGUGAAAUGCGUAGAUAUUAGGAGGAACACCAGUGGCGAAGGCGGUCUGCUGGACAUCAACUGACGCUGAGGCGCGAAAGCGUGGGGAGCGAACAGGAUUAGAUACCCUGGUAGUC